CGCGGCGGUCCGGACGGUUCCGGUGACUGGCUCAUACCCAGGAAAUCUGCGGGUUCGACUCCCGCCGUCGCGU
rnacentral:tRNA from 1 species